rnacentral:rRNA from 1 species
GACAGAGGGGGCAAGCGUUGCUCGGAAUUACUGGGCGUAAAGGGCGCGUAGGCGGGAUGGCAAGUCGGUCGUGAAAUCCUUCGGCUCAACCGAAGAACGUCGAUCGAUACUGCUGUUCUUGAGGGUUGCAGAGGAGACUGGAAUUCCCGGUGUAGCGGUGAAAUGUGUAGAGAGUCGGGAGGAACACCGGUGGCGAAGGCGGGUCUCU